CAGAUCUUCCUAAUAUUGUUGCACUAGAUCAUUCAGAAAGCUUUUUCUUUUCUUUUUUUUGUGGAUACAAUGCAAUACCCACUGAUUUUAGUCUCCUAGAAAGCCCGUGACUAAAGCAAAGAUUAUGUUUCUAGUGGGAAGUUUAGGUCAAAAUUUAUCAAAAGACGAAAUUGAAUUGCGAAGGAAUCAAGAUUCAUUUCAUUGGACCGUUCUCAAAAUUGGUUUAAAUGUGAAGACAAUCAUUCCCACUCCUUUGACUGUUAGAGCUUAUGACAACAUUUUAAGAAAGGUCAUAGGAACUUUCAAGGCACCUUGCAACAUUGGUCUGUUGGAAACAAUUGUAGAAUUUCACAUGAUGGACAUCUCCCCUAACUACAACCUUCUCUUAGGAAGAGCAUGGCUUCAUCCCAUUGGAGCUAUCCCUUCCACUCUACACCAAAAGAUGAAGAUCCCAUGGAAAAAGAGGAAUUGCUUUAGUGCUUGGUGAUGGUGAGAUCCUAGUUCCCGUCUGUGGACUUGAAGAGGGAGGAAAUGAGCUUCUAAUGAGUAGCUUUAAGUUUGUAAACACGGUUGAUUAUGGAUUAAAGAAUGAGAAGUAUACUACAGAUUUACUCCCAUAUUGUAGUCAUGAGGUGAUUGCAGUGAUGAAGAAAGUAGGGUAUAUGCGUUGUAUGGGUCUUGGAAAAGAAGGAAGAGGGGUGGUUGAAUUCCCCGACUUCAAGACUCAACUAACCAAAGACUGUUUGGGAUUCCUUGAAGGUUGUGAUGGAAUUAAAAGGAACCUUAGUACCCUAAAUGGGAACUUUGUGAAGGAAGGAGAAGACAUUUCUUUCUAUGGCUUUCCCGAGCUUUGGGUGAAUAAGGAUGGAAAAGUAAAUCCUGGCUAGGAAAUAUUCUUCAAUGAGAAGCUUACCUUCAAGGAAAAACCUAUUGUGGUGAUAAAGGAAAUUCAAGAGGAGGUCGACUUGGUGGACUACAUGGAUGCUGAAGCAAUGGGAGAUAUGUUGAAAGAGGAGGGAGAUGUGCUCGCCGUCAUCAUCAAAGAGCCAAGUGAUCCUUCUACCUUUAUCAUGCUUUCUAAUAGGCAACUUAGCUAUUGGACUUGGGUUGGGUUUUCUAAGAAUAUGGGAAAUGAAUUUUGUAAUAUAAGUUCAAAUGUACUUUUCAAUAUUUUUAAUAAGAUGAAUUUUGAUUUGGCUUA